rnacentral:tRNA from 1 species
UGUUCUGUUGUUUAGUUGGUUAAAGCGCCGGAAUCGCGAUGCGGUGUCGUGGGUUCAAAUCUCACCACAACAA